UAGGGAAUCUUCGGCAAUGGACGAAAGUCUGACCGAGCAACGCCGCGUGAGUGAAGAAGGUUUUCGGAUCGUAAAACUCUGUUGCUAGAGAAGAACAAGGACGUUAGUAACUGAACGUCCCCUGACGGUAUCUAACCAGAAAGCCACGGCUAACUACGUGCCAGCAGCCGCGGUAAUACGUAGGUGGCAAGCGUUGUCCGGAUUUAUUGGGCGUAAAGCGAGCGCAGGCGGUUUCUUAAGUCUGAUGUGAAAGCCCCCGGCUCAACCGGGGAGGGUCAUUGGAAACUGGGAGACUUGAGUGCAGAAGAGGAGAGUGGAAUUCCAUGUGUAGCGGUGAAAUGCGUAGAUAUAUGGAGGAACACCAGUGGCGAAGACGGCUCUCUGGUCUGUAACUGACGCUGAGGCUCGAAAGCGUGGGGAGCAAACAGG
rnacentral:rRNA from 1 species